AAAAAUGAUCAAGGUGCAACUGUGUGUUUCUCACUCUUGUUUGUUAAGAGCAUCAGGAAGAGUUGAUCUGUGUGCUGUGUUGAAUGGCUACCUUUGGAUACACCAAAUACACAAGAACUUUGAAAACAGGACCUGACAGGUCUGAAAUGCAAUAUAACCAGCUCCCAGUAUUAGAAGGAAGCUAUCUGCCUACAAGUGUGGCUUUAUUCACUUUAUUCGGAA